GUCUUGGCGUUGCCAAAGGCCUCGAGCAGUGGGUUGGACUGCAGGAUGAUGUCUUUGACGUGCUGUGAGGACAAACAGAGAGACAUGCACGAUCACUGUGAUUGGCUGGCGACCAGUCCAGGGUGUGCCCCGCCUCUUGCCCGAGGACAGCUGGGAUAGGCUCCAGCAACCCCGCGACCCUCGUUAUAAAGUCAUUUCUAAAGCUUUGGGACUCCAGCAAACCACAGUGAGAGCCAUUAUCCACAAAUGGCAAAAACAUGGAACAGUGGUGAACCAUCCCAAGAGUGGCCGGCCAACCAAUAUUAUUCCAAGACCGCUGCGACGACUCAACCAAGAGGUCACAAAAGACCCCACAACAACAUCCAAGGAACUGCAGGCCUCACAUGCUUCAGUUAAGGCGCCAUUUAUCAUGAGAGCUGAUUCGAAACAUCUCAAACAAAAUCAGUGUUUUCAAUGGAAGAAAACUACGACUAAAAUAUAGUCUUAUGAACCACGAUUGUGGUUCAGGGUGGAACUCUGUGGAAAUCCAAGACAGGAACACGUCACACCAAGUACAGUAUAUUUUCUUUUUACAGCAGCCUCUGUAGUGGUUGAACGUAAAUAAACCAUCUGCAGUGAAAAUGGAUACAUAGUCAUUCUAUGUGUGUCACCAGGACGUCCCACUCAAGUUUCAAUCAGUGACACUGAAAAGCAAACAGGUAGGCAGCAGGCAUUGGUACCACAUGCAUGCAAAGAAUUACAUCGUCUAAAACAAAUGCCAAAAAAUAUAU